rnacentral:lncRNA from 1 species
UUCUUCCGUUAUUAUAAUGAUAGGUUGUUCACAGUGAUAAAACUGUUGUUUACAGACUAUUUGCCAGUCUAGAGCAAUCUCCUUUAGGAUCUCUGAAAUGAAAAGAGGAAACUCGGGGAAGGCGGUUCCUUCUGUCACCCAGGUCUCUGGAACAUUCCAAUAGACCAAAUUUGGAAAAGAAAGCCAUUACAUUGUGGAAAAUUUAAAGGCUAAGACAUUCCAAAGACAAAUGAUGAAUCGAAAACAGUAUCGACAAAAUUUAACUUCAGUUUAUAGCCGACAAACUGCUACAAUUUUGCACAUGGUAAGAUUUGAAUUAUGCAGUUGAGAGGCACCCCUGAUAUGAGCAUCUCAAAUAAAACAUUGUUCACAGGAGGGAAUAAAACCA